CAUAAGUUUAAAGAGACAACCUGGAGAACUGAAACAUCUAAGUAACCAGAGGAAAAGAAAUCAAUUGAGAUUCCGUUAGUAGUGGCGAGCGAACGCGGACUAGGCCAGUAAUUUUGUUAAAAAAAUUUGAAUAGUUUGGAAAUGCUAACCAUAGAGGGUGAUAGUCCCGUAUAAGUAAUGUUUAACAAAAUUCUUGAGUAAAGCGGGACACGUGAAAUCCUGCUCGAACAUAGGGGGACCACCCUCUAAGCCUAAAUACUCUUCAGUGACCGAUAGUGAACUAGUACCGUGAGGGAAAGGUGAAAAGAACCCCUAUUAGGGGAGUGAAAUAGAACCUGAAACUGCAUGCCUACAAUCAGUCGAAGCUCUUUUUAGAGUGACGGCGUACCUUUUGUAUAAUGGGUCAGUGACUUAAUUUAUAAAGCAAGCUUAAGCCAUCUAGGUGUAGGCGAAGCGAAAGCAAGUCUUAAUAGGGCGAUUAGUUUUAUGAAUUAGACCCGAAAACGAAUGAGCUUACCAUGAGCAGGUUGAAAGUUGGGUAACACCAACCGGAGGACCGAACCAGUUGACGUUGAAAAGUCUUUGGAUGACUUGUGGUAAGGGGUGAAAGGCCAACCAAAUUCGUAGAUAGCUGGUUUUCCGCGAAAACUAUUUAGGUAGUGCGAUGAAUAAAUAGAUGCUUAGAGGUAGAGCACUAAAUGGGCUAGGGGGAAGAGAUUCUUACCAAACCUAAUAAAACUCCGAAUGCUAAGUAUUGUUCUUCAUCAGACAGACUGUGGGUGCUAAGGUCCAUGGUCGAGAGGGAAAGAGCCCAGACCACCAGAUAAGGUCCCCAAAUUAUGAUUAAGUGUGAAAGGAUGUGGAAAUUCCUUAACAGCCGGGAGGUUGGCUUAGAAGCAGCCAUCCUUUAAAGAUAGCGUAACAGCUCACCGGUCUAAUAGAGUUUCUGCGCCGAAGAUGUAACGGGGCUAAAAUCAUAUACCGAAUCUGUGGGUUUAUAAAAUUUUCGAAUUUUAUAAGCGGUAGCGGAACGUUCUGUAAGCCUGCGAAGGGAUACCCGUGAGGGAUCCUGGAGGUAUCAGAAGUGCGAAUGCUGACAUAAGUAACGAUAAAAGAAGUGAAAAACUUCUUCGCCGAAAAUCCAAGGGUUUCUGCGCAAGGUUAAUCCGCGCAGAGUUAGUCGGCACCUAAGGCGAGGGCGAAAGCCGUAGUCGAUGGAAAUAAGGUUAAUAUUCCUUAACCAGAUGGUAGUGACGGAUCUUGUAAGUUGUGAGUUCUUAAUG
rnacentral:rRNA from 1 species